AAAGCUGUUCCUCCUCCUCCUGGCCUUGGUGGGCUGUUUGGCUGUGUGGAAAUAUGGGGCACGGUGGGGACACAUUCGGAGUGUCCUUGGCCCAGGCACGAUCUCACUUACUCAUCACAGCAGAGAACACUUGAGGAGCAGGAUGUCCAGUUUCCGGAACAUUGGGCCUUCUGAAUGAGAAACUGGUCAGCCGCUCCCUGUGGCCUCAUCAGGACCUGCCCUUCCCUCAGUAUGGACCUAUCCACUACCCAGAAAGCAUCACAAAAUCAGAAAUAUUUGAGCUGGAAGAAUACUUCAGGGUGGCCUCAUUCUGCUCGGCAUAUGCCAUGGCCACCACGGCCAGGAUCAGAUUGAUGAGGUAGAAAGAGCCCAGGAAGAUGAUGACCACGAAGAAGAUCAUAGCAGGGCAUCGUUGGAGCCCUCCAGGAAGUAGAAGUUCCCUUUGGGAGUCAGAGGCCACAAAGGAGGC